CGAAACGAUCAUAACCCGCAGUCGCCGGUCAGCUGGUCCAUAGUGCGUGGUCUGGUCCAUAGUGCGUGGUCUGGUCCACAGUGUGUGGUCUGGUCUGUCUGGUCCAUAGUGCGUGGUGUGGUCCACUGUGUGGUCUGGUCUACCUGGUCCAUAGUGCGUGGUCUGGUCCACUGCGUGGUUUGGUCUUGCCGGUCCACAGUGUGUGGUCUGGUCUGCCUGGUCCACAGUGUGUGGUCUGGUCUGCCUGGUCCACAGUGUGUGGUCUGGUCUGCCUGGUCCACAGUGUGUGGUCUGGUCCAUAGUGCGUGGUCUGGUCCACUGCGUGGUUUGGUCUUGCCGGUCCACAGUGUGUGGUCUGAUCUGCCUGGUCCACAGUGUGUGGUCUGGUCUGCCUGGUCCACAGUGCGUGGUCUGGUCCAUGAAGGGAGGUGUGUGGUCCAACAUAAGGCGGUAGCUGGCGCGUGUGGUGGCCUGCCUGGCCUCGUUCUCCUCACCGCUCAACUAUAAUGGACAUUGACGUUGCUGCUAAUGUGAGACAGUUUAAGGAUUUCCUGGUCCUCUACAAUCAGAUAUCAGAGCGCUGUUUCAACUUGUGCGUUACUGGAUUUAAUGAUCGUAACAUAUCGGAAGCUGAAACUGCGUGUGUGGAUCGCUGUGUUGGGAAGCACGUGAACGUGAACCACAAGAUUAUGUCAGUUUAUGCAGAAGUCCAGCCCAUCUACAUGCAACGACGCAUUGAUGAGAUGAGUAAGCAGAUUGAAGCUCAACAACAAAGCCUUGUUGAAAGUCAAGAACAGCAGCAAGUUGAUAACCAAGUUUAGGUUGAAAAAGAGAAUGAUAGAAGUGUCCAUCAUUAUGUCAACCACUGAUUUCUGUGUUUCAUCAUAAAAGAAACAAAGCAAAUCUAUGUACACUUAUCUAUGUUUCUGCUGAUGGCACAAGACAAUAAUCCCCAUUUAAGAAAGAAAAUGGAAAACUGGGUAUGCAACGUGCAUGUGCUUGUAUGCCGACAUUGGAAAGCACUCUGCAAGGGCCAAGAAAGAGGCAUUGAGGAAACGGCUGGUGAGUGUUGAUAGUCGGUCACUCCUUGUCGUUGCCCAUGAAGUGACGUAAGAAGUCAAUCGGCAAGGGGAAGAUGAUAGUCGAAUUUUUCUCGGCAGAAAUUGUGUUCAGUGUCUGAAAGAAAUGAUGCGUGUUAGAUACCAAAUCUUAAUGAUAUUUAUACAUAAACAUUUAGGCUAAAAGUAUCACUGGCAGUUCAGCUUGUAUGAGGAUCCACAUCUUGCUCUACUAGUAAAGGGAAUUCUUGGUACAUGUAAUGAAAUUAAAAGAUGCAUUGUUUAAGAUCAGAGCCAACCAUUUCACUUUAUGUACAUGUAAUUAAAAGUACUGUACCUGUAUUUCUUUUAACCUGUAAUAAUAGUUAACUGGAUUGGUAACCAUUUUGGUAAUCACUUUACGGUGUAAUGUUCAAUGUUGAAAUUUCUGCAGUGUUACUAAAGUUACUUGAUUACAAUGUGUAAUGUUAUAUAUAGUAGUUGAAGUGUAAACAAUGGUUAUGUAACCAGCAAUUAUAAUUAAAUUAUGGGGCUUCUAAGUAAUCUUUCUAGGAGGGGGGCUAUGAUGGCGCCUUGGUGCUGCUACUUGGAAAGCUUUCAAUUUCAAUCGACACUAGACACUUGAGAGUUAAUGUAAUCCUACUGGAGACCAGAGGUCAAAAUCCAGUCUCCCCUCUAAAGAGUUGUAAGGAUUAGGGAUCCUUCAUUACUCUAACAAAGAAAAGACCAACAGAAAGGUGGGAGUACCAAAACAUGUUUACAUUGCAGAUUCUAAGCAUAGAAAAUGGGGCCACGGUGCCCCAAAACAGACUAACAGCUCGGUUGUGACACGGUUCACUCAUUAGUUUCGCCAUCCUCCUCCAAUCCUCUAGCCUUGAACCUGUCAGGCCCAAAAUGAUGAAACCGAAGUUGCUGAAUGUAGAAGGGUGGGUCCCAUGGACUCUCCAGAAUGUGGCUUUUCGUAAUAUUGUGCUGAAUUUGUACACUUCCCCCCACAGGACGAGUAUAAGACACUCAAAUACUACAAGCAUUUGGCACCAGCAAGUAAUGCUUGGCUUGUACUACAGUAAACUUGAGUAAAGUUUCAGGUGUGUGUGUGUGUGAUUUUUCCUCUUUCCUUGACCCUCACCGUGUUACCCAUGGAAAUUUUCCUGGUGAUAAUAAAUAUAACUACAUUAACAAAUUUGUUUUAAAUUCCCACAUGUAAAAGAUGGUAACUAGAUUUCAUAAGGCUGGGUAGAACAGUACC
rnacentral:misc_RNA from 1 species